UUUUAUGAAACCUUAAUAGUUAAAAAAAAAGCACAGUAGCAGCAGAACUUUCAUGGCUUUUUCUGUUAUAAUAUUCCAAUCUUUCUAAAGAUUCUGAGUAUCCAGAUCAAACUACAAUAACCUUUUAUGUGAGUGGCAUGAGCUUUGAAGUUUCACAUCCUUUUUCUUUCCUAUACCUUCCUCUUGUGGGGUCCUCUUCUUUCUGUACAAUGACAGCCUAAUGCACAGCCUGGAAAAAGGUGGUGGCAGCUGCACUAAAAAGCUCUACUUCAUGGGUUUUCAUGGUGGGAUUCAUGUAAUCUCAACUGGGUUUUUUCUCUUUGUUUCAGACACAUUUCAGUCUUUAGCAGAUGGUGUACAUUUGGGUCCCUGAAUGAGAUUUGAUGUUGCUGAUUAUGUGGAGAUGGACAGAUGGUAUUGCUGUUGAAGGGUUUGGGGUUGGUGAAUUUCCCAAGUUGGUUUGGCCUUCUUUAACACUCCAAGUUUGAGCAUAUGUUUAUAACUCCCAACUUGCCAUUAAGAAAAUCAACUUGGGGAUCAUCAGGUUGUUGACUUGUAGGUAAAUUUGUAGUUUGGAUGAGCUCGUUUUGGUCUUUCACUUAUUACAUAACAAUUAAUCUCGAUAUGUUUUGUAUACUGGAUUUGAAGCCAUAUGGAUGGCAACGUUGUAAUCUUAGUAUAAUUUGGUUGGUUGUGGGUGUGGUAA